UCCUGGCUCAGGAUGAACGCUGGCGGCGUGCCUAACACAUGCAAGUCGAGCGGAGAUGCAUAGCGGAAGCCUCGGGUGGAAGAUAUGUUAUCUAGCGGCGGACGGGUGAGUAACGCGUGGGUAACCUGGCUCAUACAGGGGGAUAACAGAGAGAAAUUUCUGCUAAUACCGCAUAAGCGCACAGUAUCGCAUGGUACAGUGUGAAAAAACUCCGGUGGUAUGAGAUGGAUCCGCGUCCGAUUAGCCAGUUGGCGGGGUAACGGCCCACCAAAGCGACGAUCGGUAGCCGGCCUGAGAGGGCGGACGGCCACAUUGGGACUGAGACACGGCCCAGACUCCUACGGGAGGCAGCAGUGGGGGAUAUUGCACAAUGGAGGAAACUCUGAUUGCAGCGACGCCGCGUGGGUGAAGAAGUAUUUCGGUAUGUAAAGCCCUAUCAGCAGGGACGAUAAUGACGGUACCUGAGUAAGAAGCCCCGGCUAACUACGUGCCAGCCGCGGC
rnacentral:rRNA from 1 species